rnacentral:rRNA from 1 species
UACGUAGGGUGCGAGCGUUAAUCGGAAUUACUGGGCGUAAAGCGUGCGCAGGCGGUAAUGUAAGACAGAUGUGAAAUCCCCGGGCUUAACCUGGGACCUGCAUUUGUGACUGCAUUGCUGGAGUGCGGCAGAGGGGGGAUGGAAUUCCGCGUGUAGCAGUGAAAUGCGUAGAUAUGCGGAGGAACACCGAUGGCGAAGGCAAUCCCCUGGGCCUGCACUGACGCUCAUGCCACGAAAGCGUGGGGAGCAAACAGG